ensembl:lncRNA
AUGCCUGAAGUUUCAGAACCACAAUCUGAGAACCUUCCAAGUCAGUCCUCAGUCACUGACCAUGAUAACACAGAUAAAGGUGCUUCUACAAAGGCAAAUGAACCUUCUCAACAGGACACUCUGCUUAAAAAUAGAAUUGAAAAUACAGUUCCUCUAAGAGAAAUUGAACCACCGAUUCGAGAUUCUCCUCAGAGCCCUGAUCCAGAGCCACAGUUUGUGAAACCUUGCAGAGUAGAAAGAAGUGACUAUGUUGAAGUUGAGAACGUCCAAAAUCUUGAGGAGCAAGUCCUUGUCUCAAUGCCAGAUGCUCCAAAUGAAGACAGUUGUCUGUCCAGUAAAUUGUUUCCUACUGUUGGAGAUCCGUUAUCAAAUGUUAGAAAUAUGUGGAUAGCGGGGAUAGAUAAUCAGAUAAGUCCUGGCUUAAAGAAUCCUAAUAAUACAAGUGAAGGUGGAGGACAUUCAAACCCAGCAAUACCCACAGAAAUUAAGAGAACAAGACCUGAAAUGGACACAGAAUCAAAGCAUUUAGGACCUUACAUGAAAAGUGCUAUGAUUAGAAAAGCAGAACCAGGCAUGAACGAACCUGCAUAUAGGGGACCACAAAUGAAUCUAAGGGAAUCAGGAGUUAUAUUUCCAGGUCCAGGCAUUAAAGGUCCAGGCAUCCAAGAUGUGAUGUGCCAUAUGGGUCCCUCUCAAGAUAAUUGUAGCGUGGGUCCCUCAGAUACAAGGAGCAAACAAAGUUCAGGUAUAGCUACUGGAGAAACAGGCCCUACUAGAAGGGAUGCCAACAUACACGGUGGAAAUAAUUACAAUCCAUGGCCUGAAAGGAAACAUGAACAAAUGGAUCGUGAAAACAGAGACAUGAAAAACACUACAAAUCCAGAUUGGAGAAAUCCAGGACCAGUGAUUGUUUGUCCUCCAGAACCAAACAGAAUGAAUGACUGGAGAGGAUCAGAUAAAACCAGAGACGAGUCAUUUAUUCAAGAUGAAUGGAAAGUUCAUCAGUCUGAUGGGAGAGGGCUGAAUAUGGAUAGCCAUAGGUUUGACAGAAGAGGUGCUGUUGGCUCAGACUUUAGACAACCAGGACCUGACAUUACUGGCCCAAAUGUUUGGCCUCCAAAGCAUGACAGCAGAGGACCAACGGGUCCAGAUUUCCCAAGAGCGGGAUUUGAAAUGAGAGAUUCAGACAUGCAUGGCCUAAGGAAUGAUAGUAGUGGACCAGGAUUGGAAAUUAGAGGUCCACACUUGGAGGUCCCAAUGCAUGACACGAGAGGACCACCUUGCCCAGAUUUUAUGAGACAGGGACCUCAAAGGAUAGGUCCAACAAUGGACAAUCAAGGACCUGGUUUGAGAGUACCAAGGGGCCCAGACUUUGCGGGAGUUGGAUGUGAAAGAACAGGUUUAGCUGUGAUGGGUCCCGGGCCUGACAGGAGGGGACCUGUGAAUCCAGAUUUUAGAGUGACAGGGCCUGAGAUAAAAGAGCCAGUUAUGCAGGGUCAUGGACCUAACAUGAGAGGGCCACAAGGUCCCGAUUUCAAAGAGCCAUGGUCUGAAAGGAACAGUCUAGAUGUGAUGUGUCCAGGACCUGACAGACGAGGACCAGGAGGUCCAGAUUUUAUUGGACCAGGUCCUGAAAGGAGAGGCAUCACUAUAGAGCCCCCUGUGACUGACAGAAGAGGAUUUGGGGGCCCAGAUUUCAGAGGGCCAGGACCUGAACGGAGAGAACCUACUAUGGGAGGACUCAGGCCUGAUAUAAAGGUAUCAGGAGGUCCAGAUGUUAGUGGGCCCAGACGUGAAUUUAGAGGUUCCUCUAUGGACAGAAGAGGAUCACGAGAUUCACAUUUCUGGGGAGCAGAGUCUGAAAGAGAUCUGCCCGCUGAUGGACCAGUGCCUGAGAGGAGCGGACCAUAUAUUGGAAGUGCAGACCGGGACAUCAUAGGACUGGGGCCUGUAAGACAUGGUCCAGAUAUGGCAGGUCCAGGGUCUCACAGUAGAAGACAGGGAUUACCACAUUUCGGGGAAGGCCCUGAUAACAUAGACGGCCCCAACAGGAGAGGCCCAGAGGGUCCAAACAUGAGAGAAUCUGGACCAAACAGACCUUCUGACAUGGAAAACAUACAGAGAGGUCCACAAUUCAGAGGAGAAGGGCCUGACAGAAGUGCUAUGGAGUGUCAGUGGCCCUUAAGAAAGGAACCAGGAGGUCCAGAUUUUAGGGGACCUGGUUGUCAAACUAGAGGUCCAGACAGUGAGGGUCCUGACAGACAAGAUCCAGGAGGCCCAUGCCUCAGAAAGUCCUGGCCUGAAAGGAGAGCUUCAGAUGUGGAAGACCCUUUGUCUGAUUGGAGAAGAUCAGGCGGUUCUGACUUUAGAAGUCCAAGCGUUAGACAGGGAGCCCCAAAUACAGAAGGUCUAAAGCAUAAUAGAAGAGAUAACUGGGGUGAAUCUAAACCUUUUCAAGAAAACCCAGUUGAGGAAUUCUCAGGAUUUGAUGAAAGAGGUCAUACCCGUAGGGGUCCAAGGCCUAUAAGGACAAACAUUAAGGGACCAGAUGGACGGAGAAGGCCAGACUUCCAGGGAUUUACUCCUGACACAAGACACACAGACACUGAUGAACAAUGGUUGGAUAGACAAAGGCCCAAUAUGGAGGGUGUAAGAAAUGAAAGAGGUUUUUCAGAAGAUGAUUGGGAAAGACAUGGCAGUAGAACUAUCAGACCCUUUCAAGAAGGUCCAGAUGACCAGGGCCAAGAACAUAGUAGACAACGUCAUUGUAGUGAAAGAAAUGCUUCUGGACAUAGAGGACCAGGGCCUAUGCAAGAAAGACCAAAUAUGUUAUAUCCAGGGCCCAUAAGUGGUACAGAAAAUGACUGGAAUGGUCCCAGGGGACCAGGGCCAGUUCAGGAUGAUAGUGACAUGGUGUGCUCAGAAUCAGGUAGGAGACAAAGGGGAGAUAAUUGGAGAGAACCUGAAAUAGGGAGAGGAUCACCAUUUUUCAGGGGAGGAGAAAGAAAUCCACACAAUAGAGGACGAGGCUAUAAUCGAGGUCGAGGGCGAAGACCAGGAUCAGGCAUUCAAGAUCAUCCUGAUACAGGUAAUGACUGGAGGCAGCCAGACUUUACAGGAAAUAUGAGAGGGCCAAACAUGGAAGGACCUGGGCCUCAUAGAGGUCCAGAAAUGAUGGAUUCAUGCCCAAACUGGAGAGAAUUUGAGAAUGAAGGCCUUGAUAGAAGAGGACCAGGGGAUCUAGAUUUACGGCCCACGGGACCUGGAAACAGAAAUUCAAACACUGAAAGUCUAGGAUUCCAUGGGAGAGAUUCAGACUGUAGGCAGCAAGGACCUGAAAGUCAUGGUGUAGACACGAACAAUUCUGGACAAGGUAGACAAAUUUUUGAGCCUGAUUUUAGAAGGGAAAGGAGAGGUCCAAGACAUCUAGGACCUAAUAGAGCAGGUAUGAGGGGGCCAUCACCCAAAACUUCAGAGUUCCCUGGGUCUAAUGGAGGGCGGCCAGGAAUGGUUGAUAGAGAAUCUGGGCAAAGGCAUCAAACAACCACUAAUGAACAAAGAGGUCCUCCCCAAGUUGGUAGAUUCCAGGACCCUAGUGAGCCACAUUCAUCACAGUUUCAUAGGUCUCUAGGUCCAAGUCCGAACAAUGAAGAAAAAUCGUUCCCUAAUUUUGAUAACCCACAAAAUCAACAAGCUGUAAACCCUCAAAGACACAGAGGUGCCUUACUUCCCACUCCAGCAGAAGGUCUCAUACGCUUUCAAAAUCCUAUGAUCAAGACUUCUGAUGUUCUGAUCACGCAGAAACAAAUGGGUCACUCAAAAGACAGGUACCUGAGUAGAGGUAGACCACGGGUUCAGCAAAGUGGUUCAGUCAGAGGGCAAGGACGGGGAAGACAGAACUCUUGA